GUGUUAUGACAUCAUGAAUCAUAAUGUAAUCACACUGUGGUGGUGGAUAGUGAACUUACAAUCUGAAGCAUUUGGAAUUUCUCUACGUUGGAUGGGUACAGGUUUUGUCAAUGGGACUGAAGGUGGAGCCACAUUGUUUGGGUCAUCUCAGAGUUGAAACAUACCGAUACAGGCUCCUCUGUGCAGUGAGACGUCAUCAACGGCAACAUCUGACCGGGCCGAGCUUCCUCUACGCCCCUCAAAGAUGACCUGAUAUACCAGUCCACCUGUGCAAGAUGCCACAUGUUUCCUUGGUCUUCUCUCAUUCUCCACACCUCUUUGGCCACAUUGCCAUGCUGCAGCAGGUAGACGCUCAGUCCCAUGGUCCAGCUGGAGCCAUACAUGUGGUACCAGAACUGAAG